GCUCACGGCCAUACCAGCCUGGGUACGCCCGAUCUCGUCUGAUCUCGGAAGCUAGGCAGGGUCGGGCCUGGUUAGUACUUGGAUGGGAGACCGCCUGGGAAUACCAGGUGCUGUAAGCA
rnacentral:rRNA from 1 species